rnacentral:lncRNA from 1 species
UUCAGCUCUGCUUUCUCAGGUCUCUACUUACUUAUAUAAGAUGGCAUCAAGAAGAAGGACCUGACCACUGGCCCCUGACUACAUGGUCUUUGGAACCCGUGGCAUUGGAAGAUGUCAGAGACAUGGCACAUGGAUGUGAUCUUCAAAAACUGUUACAGCCUCAUCUCAUUGGAUUGGUCUACACAUCAAGGUGCUGGAAGUGUCGCAUGCCCAGAGAUGAUGUGGAAGCUCUAUACCCCUUUCCCUUCUGCCCACCUUGCCCUGUGCAUCUCUUCCUGAAUGGCUUCUCCUGAAUUGUAUCCUUUAUAAUAAACUGGUAAAUAGGAAAGAGAUAAUAUCUUCUACUUAAUCCUGGAUACUAUAUCUGAAGUCAGAGCAUCCACUCCAAAGCAGAGAAUUUCUGAAAAACAAAAUAAUGUCAUCAUAUGAUGUUAGAAUUUUUUUUCAAAUGAUGGUUCCUAAUACUUCACAUUAGAAGAACUCGAAUUUGAUGACCAGUUUGAGAAACACCAGUAUAUCCAGAUUACAAGAAAAAGCGAGUCAAAAGGAUGAUCAUGAAUAUAACAACUUCGAGGAAACAUUUAACCAAAGACCAAAGCUUUUUAAACAACUGAGAGUUUUUAUAAGAAAAAGACCUCAUACAGUAGUCCCCACUUAUUCAUGGGGGAUACAUUUCAAGACCCACAGAGAAGGCCUGAAAUCACUGAUGUACCAAACCCUAACCAGGUUCUUAGGAUGAGCUACUAAAUGACAAAUGGGUGGGUAGUACAUAGAGUGUAGAUACACCAGACAAAGAAAUGAUUCACAGCCCAGGCAGGACAGAGCAGAUCACACAAGAUUUCAUCACAGUACUCAGAAAACCACACCAUUUAAAAGUUAUGAAUUGUUUAUUUCUGGAAUUUUCCAUAUAAUAUUUUUGACCACAGUUUCCCAUGGAUAACUGAAACCAUGGGAAGUGGAACUGUGGAUAAGGCAGGACUACUGUAACUAUGACAUCAAUGGUAGGAACCUGAAGCAU